CUUAUGAUGCAUUCAGGGUCCUGCAGCAGACUGUCGGCUCUACGGUACAACGGGGGGGGGGGUUAUCCUUCAAUCACUGCAAAAGUAAAAUCUGCUGCCACCAGAGUCCACUGAAAAAUAUGUAUUUGUACUCCUCAACUACCUCCACUGGCUUCCCGUGGAUGGUGCUGGUGACUGAAGCAGCCAGAUCCCUCUGCCUACUGGAGAAGGUCACCACCAUCUCUUUGGUUUUGCUCACGUUCAAUCCAAGUUUGGAGCUGUCACACCACUCUACAAAUUCCUGAAGAGCGGGCCCAUGGUGUUGUGAAGGGCCUGACGGCAGUGACAGGAGAACUGUGUCGUCAGGAUAUUUCACCAGAAGGCGUUGAUGGCGAGGAACUGCGUAAUUACAAGAGCACCGAGGCGUAUAAUUACCUGCACAGCAACAACAUAUGAAGUGACAUGAUAAAGUACUGCUCAACAAACAAGCGCUUCCUGACAGAACGACGCGACCAAACAUGGACCCAGCAGCACUCAACCCACCAGAAGAACUGCGUCGGGACAUCAUUUACUCUGUGGAAAAACUCCUCCAACUCUAGCUUGAACAUGAGGGGAGGGAAUUUCACCGCGCUUUGGAAGCAAAACUACAGCGUUUAAUCUCCGGUCUUCCUUGGCUACUAGAUGUGCUCAACCUGCUCAAACAGGAUUUAAUCCUAAAUGAGCUCCACCUUCAUCCCCCAGCUGCUACUGCUCACCUGCCCGA